UUCUCUUAUAAUUUGACAAAAUAGAGGAACUAAUAAAUAGGAAUGGGUAUAAUCAUAUAAAAUCUCUUUCAAAAAACGAAAAAGAGAAAAGGGCAUGUGUGCCCAUAAUAUUUUGUCACGAAAACAAUGCAAAACUCAACCAGAAAUGAUCUAUUCAGGUCAAUUGUAUGAACCAAAAACCAGUCCCAUUAAAACUCUGAGUCAUGCAUUUUCCAUAGUUUUUCUGAGCUUUUUAAAUCCCAUUUCUUUUCUUUGCACCAACAAAACUAAACUGGAUAAUUUCAUGGUGGUUCUAAGCCUUCAACCUGUCCAAUUUACAACGCCUAAACACUUAUCAUCAUGUAAACCGAGUGUUUGUGGUUGUUCCGUCCGAUAUCGGAUUUCAGAGCCAUUAGGAGAGCCAGCUCCAAUGGGGAAAAAAACAAUGUACAAUGAUGGGUUUUUCGAGAGGGGAUUCAUGACUCUGUUUGCUCGAAAAAUGAUGAAGUCUGCAGCUCCGGUGAAUGCGAAAACUGAGACAAAGGAGAAGCCGUGGUGGGAUAUGACUAUGAGAGCUUUGUGGAUGUUUCGAAGAGAGUGAUGCAGGGAAGGUCUCGGAGUCAGCAACAGAAAGUGGUUCGAGAAGUGCUCUUGUCUAUGCUGCCUCCAGGUGCGCCAGAGCAGGUGGAUUAAUGCAAAGUUUUCAGUCCUCUAAUGUUGGUUUAUAUCUUAUUAAUUUGAAUAUUUAGUGAUUAAUGUACUGUUGGAUGAUCAUAUCCAUUCAUUAAUUUGAUCAUUUACCUUCAAAAACUUGAUAGUUGGGUAUAAAUUUGUAGUGUAAAGCGGGAGCCUUGUGCACUGGGUACGACCUUUUUAUACUCUAAGUCCAUAACAUAUCAACCAUGUUGUUCAGUCAUAGUAUGUAGCACCACGUGCCGAUCUCCAUGUGAAGGGAAUCGGGUUUGGUUUGUUUAGUUCAAUUUGUUGUCUACAUUAUUGAACAAGCAUAUAUGAUUAACCACUUUAGGCAGUGUGAUUAAGUGCUCAAAGUUCAUGUGUGAAUGCAGUUUAAUCUAAUCACAAUUGUUAUAAGAUCGUUUUCAGUAGGUAAUCAACUAUUAACCUAUUGUUCUUGCGGUUUAAGAAACUAUUUCAACCAACAAAGUGGGCAGCUGAGUUCAAUGCUGCAUUGACAGUUCCUUUCUUCCACUGGUUGGUUGGGCCUUCUGAGGUUGAAGAAGUUGAGAUAAAUGGGGUGAAGCAAAGCAGUGGAGUUCAUAUAAAGAAAUGCAGAUACCUGGAGAACAAUGGGUGUGUAGGAAUGUAUUGAAUAUCAGUCUUUAACCCUAAUACAGUUGGAAGAAUAACAACAGCUAAUACUAGCACUAAGUCUUUAUCUAGCUGUUGUUAUUCCCUCAUCAGUGUAAAGCUUGUUAGUGGCUGUAAAGCUAGCUUAGCUGCCAUUGUCCCCUAGCUGUAAAGCUAGCUUAGCUGCCAUUGUCCCCUACCUUUUGUUCUUCACUCUCUUCCCGUUUCUUCUUCUAUUUAUGUAUGAAUUUGUAACUGUUUGAUAUAUGAAAUAUAUAUUAAGUUUUUCUA